UUUUUCUUAUAUAUCCUACUGAAGGUAAAGGAAAUUUCAGAUUUCAAUUUUUAGGGAGGAGCAACGUACAGUGCAUUUUCUUUCUUUCUAAAGAAUAAAGCAAAACAUUAUUUCUCUUUUGGAAAGAAAAAUCAUAUGGAAUUGGGGCAGCAACCUUCUUGCACGAGAUUCAUUCUCAUAUGAAAUUACAUAUUCACAUGGAGUAUUUUAAACCAGCAACGUGAAUUCUUUUGGCAAGCAUCAACAUGUUUUAUUCUAUUUUAGGCAGAUUGGGGAAAAAGGAAAAUUUGAGGUGUGAAAUUGUUGUAACAUUCAAGUGAUUAGCAAGGUUAAGAAGCCAAGUUGAUUAAGGCUAAAAGAGCGACGAGACGAACGGGUUACGAAUAGCCGCUAACAGGUACAGACGCACAGUUUGGUGAUCCACCAGUUUAGGACACCCUCUUCUGCUGUUUGGAGUGCUCCUCUUAUUCCGGAGCCUACAUUUUGGUAUAUAUACUUGUUUGAUGCAUAUGUAUAUAUUUGUUCAGGGGUACGGCGGGGCCCUGUUCUGCCAUAUGAUUAGUUUGGUCUGUUUAGAGGUCUGUAGACGUAUUUGUGGGUGUGUGUGCCUACUUCUGUACGGGUGUGUUUGGUAUGAUCCCAUUCGUUAUGGCAGCCUUGUCGGCAUGCAUUCGUAUAUGUGUUUUGGGCCGUUGUGCCAUUUGAU